UGAGGAAUAUUGGACAAUGGGCGCAAGCCUGAUCCAGCCAUGCCGCGUGAGUGAUGAAGGCCCUAGGGUUGUAAAGCUCUUUCACCGGUGAAGAUAAUGACGGUAACCGGAGAAGAAGCCCCGGCUAACUUCGUGCCAGCAGCCGCGGUAAUACGAAGGGGGCUAGCGUUGUUCGGAAUUACUGGGCGUAAAGCGCACGUAGGCGGAUACUUAAGUCAGGGGUGAAAUCCCGGGGCUCAACCCCGGAACUGCCUUUGAUACUGGGUAUCUUGAGUCCAGAAGAGGUGAGUGGAAUUCCGAGUGUAGAGGUGAAAUUCGUAGAUAUUCGGAGGAACACCAGUGGCGAAGGCGGCUCACUGGUCUGGUACUGACGCUGAGGUGCGAAAGCGUGGGGAGCAAACAGG
rnacentral:rRNA from 1 species